UUGGUACAAUUAUACCGAAAC
rnacentral:piRNA from 1 species